AUACGUAGGGGACAAGCGUUAUCCGGAUUUAUUGGGUUUAAAGGGUGCGUAGGCUGUGCGUUAAGUCAGGGGUGAAAUGCCGUCGCUCAACGACGGAGCUGCCCUUGAUACUGGCGUGCUGGAGUACGGAUGCCGUUGGAGGAAUGAGUGGUGUAGCGGUGAAAUGCUUAGAUAUCAGUCAGAACACCGAUUGCGAAGGCGGUCUAUUGGUCCGUUACUGACGCUGAGGCACGAAAGCGUGGGGAGCAAACAGGAUUAGAUACCCUGGUAGUCCACGCUGUAAACGAUGAAUACUAGUUGUUGGGUUUUAAACUCAGUGCCGCAGCUAACGCAUUAAGUAUUCCACCUGGGAAGUACGAUCGCAAGGUUGAAACUCAAAGGAAUUGGCGGGG
rnacentral:rRNA from 1 species